UCCAUAACCACCCGCACGACCAGAAGGCGAAAUCCAUUCGCUGCGAAAAAAAAGUUCGAACACCUCAGUCCAAAUUAAGGACAAAUAUAUGGAACAUGUCGCUCAUUUUUUCAUGGUCAUCAGGAGGGGCGCUUUUUUUUUAUAGGACAUUACGACAGAAAAGUGAAUCUUUGAUUCAGGACGAUUGCCCGUAGCUGAUAUGGGUUGGUUUUUUACAUCAGGCCAUCAUUACCGAAGGCAGGAUUUUAACGGGAGAACUUGCGAUUUAAAAACUGGUAUUUCCAGGUCAUGGAGGGUCAUCUCAGGUUAGGAGGUGUGAAUUCUUACUGAAGGACUUUUGAUCAUCGUGCACUAUCAAAAGAGAGAGUGAAGAAAGAGAGAGAGAAACCGUUAUUCUAAGGAAACAGUGACGAAAUAUCGUCGUUAUCUACGGACAAUGAAUUGAUUCCUUAUCUGGAGACACCAAGAGCCAAUCUCACUAUUUUGGGAGUUAAGAAAAGCAGGGUGUUUCCCCAGAGAGAUGGCUGUGUGAAUAUGCCACAAGAGUUUUUCAAGCAUUAACUUCCUCGUGUUUACUUGAAACUAAUUAGGAAUCAAAAGUACAAGAACUCAUUAAGGAGGAGAAUGUUUUCAAAGAAAUUACGAUGACAAAUGAAUUUUUAAUUCCUGUUUCUAUUGAUUACGAAAAUAACAAAAAUUUCCUCUCAUGCACAUUAACACCAAAAUGCGAGCUUCGCUGAGACUUUUAGCCCAGGCAAGGGUUUUUUACCCCUCCUAGAUAAGGAGUGGUAACGGGCAGGGAAGUGUUGUCGCCCCAUAUAACCCUAAAGGCAGAUGGCCGAUUCCUGGAAAGUCCUCUGUUCUCACUCUUGUACACCUGUUUAUUUCAGUUAUGAGUUGCGUUGACCAAAAGCUACAAAAACUCUCGCCCUAACAUUUUAUUUAUUAAGAACUCUUAUCCUGCCGUGUGGCGAGGUAGCUGCAAAAUAGAGCAAUUAAUUCCUUCACUUUAAUUGACUGUUGAUGGCCACAUGUUGUGAUUCUCAUGAGCAUAUAUCUAUCCUGAGAAUUUAUUUCUUCGGUCCUCUUUUGCAUAGGUAUCGGUUGAUUAUUAUCGCAACUAUUGCUUUAUCGCCAAACUCAUAUUUGUAAACGAUUUCAAAUGAGCGCACGCAAGGAUAUUACGCAGCAAAUCUAGUUUGAACCUUUAGGAUGAGGAACAAAACAAAAAUCAACGCCAAUUCUAACCUCUAAAAACAGUGAAGUCUCUUGGAAGUAGAGAUGAACCAGUAAACAUAUGAAGCACAUGACAAAACGCUUUAAAAAUAAGUUAAAAAAAAAACUAACCUUAAAACAUAAGAAGGUUUAGGCGAUCUUAUAAAUAAGUAAGUAAUUAAAAAAUCUCCUCUUUGCGUUCA